rfam:Triticum aestivum genome assembly, contig: Triticum_aestivum_CS42_TGACv1_scaffold_374104_5AL
CUUGUACUCCCUCCGUCCGAAAAUACUUGUCAUUGAAAUGGGUGUAUCUAGAUGUAUUUUAGUUCUAGACACAUCCAUUUUGAUGACAAGUAAUUCCGGAUGGAGGGAGUACUUG